UGGGCGUAAGAGCUCGUAGGCGGCUUGUCGCGUCUGCUGUGAAAGCCCGGGGCUCAACCCCGGGUCUGCAGUGGGUACGGGCAGGCUGGAGUGCAGUAGGGGAGACUGGAAUUCCUGGUGUAGCGGUGAAAUGCGCAGAUAUCAGGAGGAACACCGAUGGCGAAGGCAGGUCUCUGGGCUGUAACUGACGCUGAGGAGCGAAAGCAUGGGGAGCGAACAGGAUUAGAUACCCUGGUAGUCCAUGCCGUAAACGUUGGGCACUAGGUGUGGGGGCCAUUCCACGGUUUCCGCGCCGCAGCUAACGCAUUAAGUGCCCCGCCUGGGGAGUACGGCCGCAAGGCUAAAACUCAAAGGAAUUGACGGGGGCCCGCACAAGCGGCGGAGCAUGCGGAUUAAUUCGAUGCAACGCGAAGAACCUUACCAAGGCUUGACAUGUGCCGGACCGUCCCAGAGAUGGGGCUUCCCUUCGGGGCCGGUUCACAGGUGGUGCAUGGUUGUCGUCAGCUCGUGUCGUGAGAUGUUGGGUUAAGUCCCGCAACGAGCGCAACCCUCGUUCCAUGUUGCCAGCACUUCGGGUGGGGACUCAUGGGAGACUGCCGGGGUCAACUCG
rnacentral:rRNA from 1 species